AUCUCGUUCUGCCAUUCCCGGCUCCUGCUGUGGGGCUGGGUCAUCUGCCAGCUCUCCAAGGAGCUGGUGGGAAACCACUGCAAUCAGAGCGAACCGCUGCCCGGGUGAGCCCGCCUAGGCACAGCACUCCAGCUGCCCCCAGUGCCUUUUGGGGACACAUCUGCAUUGCCAGUAAUGCUGCCAGAACCCAUCAAGACACCCAGGAACUGAUGUGCCUUGGCAGAUGAUGCUGGAAAGAUGGGAUUCCCGGCAGCCCUUGCAUCUGUUGCUCACAGCCCACAAGCAUCUCCACUGUCCAGCAGGCAGAGAGCUGAUCAAAACAGCAAAAGCAAAGCAGUGCCCCUGGCCCAGUUCUGAAGCCAACCUUCCUUAAUCACCCAGACCCAUCCCUGGUUAGGACUUGCUGUGGAUUCUCACGUGACUCCAUCUCAGGCUACAGGGACUGAGAGGGUGUAUGCAACAUCUCAGACCCAGAAACCGUUGAUUCUGCCUAAAAACACAGCAAUAACCACAUCUCAUCCUCUUGAUUUAAAUGAAAGGGUAUGGGGGAAUAAAAGAUGAACCUUUUUUUUUCUU